CUUUAUGGCAGCUGUGCGCGGGACACCUUCGGGUGUGCCGGAUGUGGUCUGCCCGGUCGGCCAACCCGCACACAGCCGCCACCUUC
rnacentral:antisense_RNA from 1 species